rfam:Lactobacillus graminis DSM 20719 NODE_78, whole genome shotgun sequence.
GGUAGAGCACCUGGUUUGGGACCAGGGGGUCGCAGGUUCGAAUCCUGUUUUCCCGA